GGUUGUGUCUGAAGGUUGUGUCCGAGGUUGUGUCUGAAGGUUGUGUCCGAGGUUGUGUCCGAGGUUGUGUCUGAAGGUUGUGUCCGAGGUUGUGUCCGAGGUUGUGUCUGAAGGUUGUGUCCGAGGUUGUGUCCGAGGUUGUGUCUGAAGGUUGUGUCCGAGGUUGUGUCCGAGGUUGUGUCUGAAGGUUGUGUCCGAGGUUGUGUCUGAAGGUUGUGUCCGAGGUUGUGUCCGAGGUUGUGUCUGAAGGUUGUGUCCGAGGUUGUGUCCGAGGUUGUGUCUGAAGGUUGUGUCCGAGGUUGUGUCUGAAGGUUGUGUCCGAGGUUGUGUCUGAAGGUUGUGUCCGAGGUUGUGUCCGAGGUUGUGUCUGAAGGUUGUGUCCGAGGUUGUGUCUGAAGGUUGUGUCCGAGGUUGUGUCCGAGGUUGUGUCUGAAGGUUGUGUCCGAGGUUGUGUCCGAGGUUGUGUCUGAAGGUUGUGUCCGAGGUUGUGUCCGAGGUUGUGUCUGAAGGUUGUGUCCGAGGUUGUGUCUGAAGGUUGUGUCCGAGGUUGUGUCCGAGGUUGUGUCUGAAGGUUGUGUCCGAGGUUGCGUCUGGGUUGCGUCUGGGUUGCGUCUGGGUUGCGUCUGGGUUGCGUCUGGGUUGCGUCUGGGUUGCGUCUGGGUUGCGUCUGGGUUGCGUCUGGGUUGCGUCUGGGUUGCGUCUGG